AUGUGGAAAAGGACAAGGAUAAGGGCUUUGUUUAGUGCCAUGGUGCCUGUUACAGACCUUGGGGCAUUGGGCUCUCUGUCCAGCUCUCUGUUGGGUAUGAUAAGCUGCAGAAUAGAGGUCACUGGGUCAUAGCUGGCCACUGCUUUGGGGCAGAGACACUAUCUCCAUCCAGUCCCCAGGAGGCUUUUAACGGGGUGCUUCCUCCUGUGAAAUGUCCCCUCAACCAGCAUGCAGCUCACAUUUGCUGUGCCACCUCACAGUGACAGCUCACACAGCCAGAUCUUCACUAUGGCAACAGGCAAAGCUGCUGAUGUGGAUGGCAGAUGGCUGUGGCAGUGGUUGGGGAGCUGGCUGCGUAGAGGAACAGUGUCAUCAGGACCCCUGCAAAAAUUGAGGAAACACAAAUCUAUAAGUAGGAGAAUCUUCUGA
rnacentral:lncRNA from 1 species